ensembl:lncRNA
ACCCACGUACUUCCUCCUGAGUGCACGGUCCAAUGUUGUGAAAGACUGGAGGAUAAUGGCUGUGGAGUUUUGAUUAUUUAUCAUGGAUUGUAAACAAACUAUCUACAACUUAUUACAAAACAUUCAACAAACCUGCUGUCAACUAAAACUAGCAAUGAUCUUAACAUAACCCUAACCCCAACCCUUAUCAUAUCCCUAACCCUAACUCCAACCCUUAUUCUAACCCUAAAGCGCAAUUUAUGAGCGUCCGUUUUCGGAGAAACGGAGACACGGAGAGCCCUCUCCGUCGUUGCAAACCCUCUCCGAGCACCUCUCCGUGGCCUGACGUGCACCUCCCAAAUGUUUUAACUAUCCGACUCCGUCAAUCCGUCAAUACAUCGCUGUUUACCUUGUGGGUAGUAGUAUGCCAACAUUAGAAAGCUGGCUCAGACACCUCGCAAAAUCCCCUCAGAUGUAUUUUUCAGUUACAAUAACGGGGUUUUUACAUUGCACAGUGUCUAUUUCUCAGUAACUUAAAAAAAAAAUAAGCAAAAAAAAGUCAAACAAACAACUUUUAUGUACAAAUACGACCAUCUACAGAGUUUGGUCCGCCGCCAUCUUAAAAAAAUAAAAAAAUGCUUUACAACACCCACAACCGUCGGAGAACCAUAAAUGAAAACGAGUCCGCCGAGGCAACUGCGUGACCACGGAGUAACAGAGUCGUAGAACCAUAAAAACACCGUAACUCCAACCCUUAUCAUAACCCUAACCCUAACUCCAACAAAAGAUCACAGGUAUUUCUCACCGGAUUCUUCAGUGUUCUUCAGGAUUCACCACUGCCCCUCACUCCACUGCCCCUCACUCCACUGCCCCUCACUCCACUGCCCCUUACACACACUCACACCCCUCACACACUCACACCCCUCACACACACUCCCGCCCCACACACACACCACUGCCCCUCACACACUCCCGCCAGCUGGAAACGGCCUCACAUGUCACUCACAAAUCAUUUCCUGUUCUCACUCUCACCUUCUUCACUCUGCCUCUCCUCCCCUCUCCUGUCUUCACUCCAUCCUCCUCUCCUCCCCUCUCCUGUAUUCGUCACUCCAUCCUCCUCUCCUCCCCUCUCCUGUAUUCUUCACUCCAUUCUUCUCUCCUCCCCUCUCCUGUCUCUUCUUGUCUUCUCUUCUCUUUCUUUUCUCCUAACCUGUCUCAUUUUCGUCCUGCCUCCUCCUCCUCCUCCUCCUCCUCCGUGCUGAACCUCACUCCUUCUCUGCCUCCCUUCCUCUUCUCUUCUCUCCUCCUCCGCACCAUUCUUCU